UGUAAUGAUCUGUUUGUUAAAAGUAACCUCAGUAACUUACGGCACUGUAUUAGAAGACAGAGAACUACCCUACCUGCACGCUGCUGCUGCUCUUGACUCCCCCAGGCACGUGCCUGAAGUGGAAGAAAGACAAGAUGGCAACUUGGCAGGUAGCAUCUCUUCCCAGGUGUACUGUCCAUCCUGGCUGCGGACACACUGAAGCUACCUAUAGGAAUGUACCUGGUGGUACUGCAGCAGAAACAUGCACUUGGAGCAGAUGUGUGUACCUGCUGCCCACAGAACAGAGCUGGCUGCAACAAGGUAAGGUAAACUGAAAUAUUGCUAUAUUGAGGGUCGCUGCCAUGAAAGUCUGGAAGGAGCAAGAGGAUUUUUUGGAGGUAAUUAGUAGCUGAGAGUUGCUGGUGGCUAUCUCAGGUUUAGAGGCAAAAGCUGUUUUAAAUGAAGCAAUAUGCACGCAGUUUCCUCAGCCUGCCCAGUGUCAGGAGGAGAUGCUAAAUGAGAAACCCAGUUGUCAUAGUCACAAACAGUAAAAUAAAACCUUUCUUGUUUCCUAACCUCAUUAGUUCUGUAGACUUCAUCCUGUCUUCUGUUCCUUGCCAGGACAAGAACUUGCCUUUUAUAUCCCCUCGAUUCCCAAGCAGUCAGUUGCUCUAGCAGCACAAUGCUUUGGAAGCCCACUGGGAAGCUGCUCUGGCCACAUGCCUUGAGUUUCUCUUGAAUUUCAGUCACCUGCAGAAACAACAGAAAUAAAAUCCUUUCAACAGAGAGCAGCCCCUGAACUUAGAAGUGUGAAAGGUUACUUACUGUGUUGCACAGCGCAUCAGGAGUUGAGCAUCACUUACAAGCAGUUUGAGACGUAGCAUUUGGGCUGUGUUUCAGGAGUAGUCAGGCCUUGAAUCCUAUCCCUGUUCCUCACCUGUGGCAUCUUGUUACUUUCUCUGACUCAAGAUGAUUUUCCUUUAGGAAGUGGGCCAGGCGAGAAGUCAAGUCAGUUUUUCUUUAAUGCUACAGAGAUGAAAUCAUUCACAGGUUGGACAAUCAUAGCACCUUUCUCUCUCAGGCAUGGGAAUAAGGAGCACAUUCAUUGCAGGGAUCUGUGAAACUCCAUUUAGCCCAGCUGGUUGUUGGACCUUCCAAGCCUUUAGUACAUUGUCCAGUUCACUUCAGGCAUACAUGGCAGGAAGGUGAGAUUUUCGUUAGAAUUUGUGACAGUUCAGACAGUGUUAAGUUUUAACAAUACAACUCUCCCAACUUGGGUGAGGACUUGCCAGAUUUACAGCAAUUUCACAAUAAACCCCUCCCAGAUCAACCAAAAUCCAAAAAUCCACCACAGUAGAAAGAAGAAAGAGCAGGCAGGGUUUUCCUUUGCGCUGCAGCUGAGUGGGUGAGGUUGCUUAUGGAAUCUGGGGGUGAAGCCUGGACUGCAAGAGCUACCUUUCAGUAUUUCCUUUGGCUACUAAGAAAUGGGAUGGUAAGAUGUGAUGGUCCAAACGAGCUUUUAAAAGAAAGUUAUAGUGAAGAGGGUGCUCAUCAUACUCAUGAUUUUGAAUAGUUUAUUAAAUGAAAGGUGAAGCAUCAGUUUUAAAUUGUACAAAAGGAAAAAAAAACCUCAUAUUGUAAAUGUACAAUUUACAGAAUUACUAGCAAAACCAAUCAAGGAGACACUCAUAAUACAAAAACCUAUUGACUGCAAACUGAACUGGAAACCCAUUGCAGGUACCGUGAUAAUAAAUGUUUGUUAUACAGUAUUCUACAAUGUUAAAUUAGGAAUCAGUUUUCCACACAGAGGACUGUGAAGCACAAGGUUCGUCUGAGACUACGACUGAAACCAGGCAGCAUUUGUUAUGCUACUAUGCUCACAGGGUUACUGUGAUGACAAUUUAAUGCAGCCAUUCCUGCCCACCCUAUUACUUUUGGGGUGGGCAGAAUAAGAAGGGAGGUAACGUGAUUUUGUAAGGUUCCAGCUACGUCUCAGGUUUUAUACAUUACCCAACCACCAUCUGAGGAAUGGCUGAAUUACCUAGUCAAACAUUUUUGGCAACCAUGUCUGAGAACUGCACAUGU